rnacentral:miRNA from 1 species
UAUACCUCAGCUUUAUCAGGUG